AUCCUUUCAAGGACAUCCGAUAAAAUUGGAAUGAUAUAGAGAAGAUUAACAUUGCUUCUGGGUAAGGAUGACAUGCACAAAACGAGAGAUGGUUCAAAAAAGA